UUUUUAGCUACAUGUAGCAAAAGCAUGCCUUGUGAAUCCUACCUAUAUAUAUUUUAUUGCAUUAUAGGACAUUGAUGACUCACCUCUCACCCCAAAAACCGAGCCAUCCAGCUUCUGCCGUCAAGACCCAUAUCAGGAGUACUCUGAACAGGCCAGGCUGCAAGAGUCCGACUCAACCCCUACUCCAAAGAAGAGAUGUCUGCGAGAGAUACAGGAGGAGGGUCGGUCGCAGAGUUCUAACCACAACCUCAGUUCAGAGGAGGAUUCUGACCUGAAACAGGAGAGUGCCUUCGACCCGUGGCCGAGUUCUAACCACAGCCUCAGUUCAGAGGAGGAUUCUGACCUGAAACAGGUAAAUAAAU